rnacentral:rRNA from 1 species
AUGCCUGCUUCAGCUGAUACUUAGCGGCGGACGGGUGAGUAACACGUGGGUAACCUGCCUGUAAGACUGGGAUAACAUUCGGAAACGAAUGCUAAUACCGGAUACGCGAUUUGGUCGCAUGACCGAACCUUGAAAGAUGGAGCAAUCUAUCACUUACAGAUGGACCCGCGGCGCAUUAGCUAGUUGGUGAGGUAACGGCUCACCAAGGCGACUAUGCGUAGCCGACCUGAGAGGGUGAUCGGCCACACUGGGACUGAGACACGGCCCAGACUCCUACGGGAGGCAGCAGUAGGGAAUCUUCCGCAAUGGACGAAAGUCUGACGGAGCAACGCCGCGUGAGUGAUGAAGGUUUUCGGAUCGUAAAGCUCUGUUGCCAGGGAAGAAUGCUUGGGAGAGUAACUGCUCUCAAGGUGACGGUACCUGAAAAGAAAGCCCCGGCUAACUACGUGCCAGCAGCCGCGGUAAUACGUAGGGGGCAAGCGUUGUCCGGUAUUAUUGGGCGUAAAGCGCGCGCAGGCGGUCUUGUAAGUCUGUUGUUUAAACUUGGCGCUCAACCCCAAGUCGCAAUAGACACUGCAAAGCUUGAGUACAGAAGAGGAGAGUGGUACUCCACGUGUAGCGGUGAAAUGCGUAGAGAUGUGGAAGCACACCAGUGGCGAGGGCGACUCUCUGGGCUGUCACUGACGCUGAGGCGCGAAAGCGUGGGGAGCAAACAGGAUUAGAUACUCUGGGUAGUCCACGCCAUAAACGAUGAGUGCUAGGUGAUAGGGGUUUUCUAUACUCUUGGUGCAGAUGUUAACACAUUAAAGCAUUCCGCGUGGAGUAGUACGGUCGCGAGACUGACUCUCA